GACGAACGCUGGCGGCGUGCCUAAUACAUGCAAGUCGAGCGGAAGUUGGAGAGCUUGCUCUUCAACUUUAGCGGCGGACGGGUGAGUAACACGUGGGCAACCUGCCCUGCAGAUCGGGAUAACUCCGGGAAACCGGUGCUAAUACCGAAUAGUUUUCGCCACCUCCUGGUGGCGUACGGAAAGACGGUUUCGGCUGUCACUGCAGGAUGGGCCCGCGGCGCAUUAGCUAGUUGGUGGGGUAACGGCCCACCAAGGCGACGAUGCGUAGCCGACCUGAGAGGGUGAUCGGCCACACUGGGACGAAGACACGGCCCAGACUCCUACGGGAGGCAGCAGUAGGGAAUCUUCCGCAAUGGACGAAAGUCUGACGGAGCAACGCCGCGUGAGUGACGAAGGUUUUCGGAUCGUAAAACUCUGUUGUGAGGGAAGAACAAGUACCAACUAACUACUGGUACCUUGACGGUACCUCACCAGAAAGCCACGGCUAACUACGUGCCAGCCGCCGCAGUAAGAC
rnacentral:rRNA from 1 species